UAACUUCCUUGAUAUCUGUUAAUGGUAAUUUCAAUUUCUUCCUGGGAUGUCUCUCGUAAACAUAACGCCGAUUUGGACACUCUCUUUCUAUCCUAUCAGCUUCACAAAAGAAUAGGAACAUUGAAAUAUUUAAUCAGAAAAAGUGUUUGAGGAUUGUUGAAUAAUUACCAUUGACGAUCACUCUCAAUGUGGCGAGGACAGAGAUGGAUUGCAGAAGAUUAGAUAUAUUGGUUUUCUUCAUUUUUAGUUAGGACUCGGUAUCAAGUAGUCAUCCCAACGAUUACACCCUAAAAUCAUUAAUAAAUCAAAGAUACUAAUAACUUGGAAUUAAUCUUACAAGAAAAAAGCCCACAUUACACGAGAUAACAAUAAUCGAAAAGAUACCAGGCAACUAAUAAUGUAAUGCUCGAAAGUUGGAAGCACGGUUGGUUGGGUUUACGGGCGUGUGCUGGCCCCUUGCCGCGUGCACGCGAGUAAUCGUGGAAAAGGUUGAUGGGGGUGCGAGAGUGUGGAGGUGUUCAGGGUGAAAAUGUGUCUUCUGUAACACGCUUACCUCUUGAUAAGGCGAGAUGUUUUACACCGAUAUCUUUCACGGGGAAUAUCUUCGAUUCGCUCGCGUACUAAUGCUGAAAGAAGCUUUUUGUCUUUGAUAAGAUAUCAGGACAUAUGUCAUCAGAUCUCAGGACUUUUAGAUUUCAAAACUCAAUGAGCACUGCUAAAUCCUACACAUUGUCUAAAAUUUUAUCUCAAGCUCUCAAUUAAAAACUUCUUGCUUUUUUUCUGGAAUCUCUACAUCUCGACCUUAAAUAAACCACAAUCUUCAAUCAAACAAUA